rnacentral:rRNA from 1 species
GACGAACCGUGCGAACGUUGUUCGGAAUCACUGGGCUUAAAGGGCGCGUAGGCGGGCGGUCAAGUCAGGGGUGAAAUCCCACGGCUCAACCGUGGAAGUGCCUUUGAUACUGGCCGCCUCGAGGGAGGUAGGGGCGUGCGGAACUUCCGGUGGAGCGGUGAAAUGCGUAGAUAUCGGAAGGAACACCGGUGGCGAAAGCGGCGCGCUGGACCUUUACUGACGCUGAGGCGCGAAAGCCAGGGGAGCAAACGGG